CCUACGGGUGGCUGCAGUGAGGAAUAUUGGUCAAUGGGCGGGAGCCUGAACCAGCCACGCCGCGUGAAGGAAGAAGGCGCCAGGCGUCGUAAACUUCUUUUGUCGGGGAACAAAGGGCGCCACGCGAGGCGUUGUGAGUGUACCCGAAGAACAAGCAUCGGCUAACGCCGUGCCAGCAGCCGCGGUAAUACGGGGGAUGCGAGCGUUAUCCGGAUUUAUUGGGUUUAAAGGGUGCGUAGGCGGUCAGGACAGUCAGCGGUAAAAGCCCGGGGUUCAACCCCGGCGAGCCGGUGAAACUGUCGGACUAGAGACGGCGAGAAGUACGCGGAAUGCGCGGUGUAGCGGUGAAAUGCAUAGAUAUCGCGCAGAACUCCGAUUGCGAAGGCAGCGUACCGGCGCCGGACUGACGCGGAGGCACGAAAGCGUGGGUAUCGAACAGGAUUAGAUACCCGUGUAGUC
rnacentral:rRNA from 1 species